rnacentral:rRNA from 1 species
UACAGAGGGGGCAAGCGUUGUUCGGAAUUACUGGGCGUAAAGGGCGCGUAGGCGGCCUGUUAAGUCGAACGUGAAAUCCCCGGGCUCAACCCGGGAACUGCGUCCGAUACUGGCAGGCUUGAAUCCGGGAGAGGGAUGCGGAAUUCCAGGUGUAGCGGUGAAAUGCGCAGAUAUCAGGAAGAACACCAACGGCGAAGGCAGCUCGCUGGGACGGAACUGACGCUAAGGCGCGAAAGCGUGGGGAGCGAACAGG